UAAGACAGUGAAAAAUCCAUGACAUUAGAAUUUUGUCCAGGCCCAAAGGGAACUAAUUCUGUGGUGAAAUACUGUAAUACAAGCUCCAACUCAAGCACACUCAAAUUCUUAAACAUUCUGUUUCCUGGGAGAUGGAUACAACCCUUUAAGAACUCAUCUGUCUGUUCUGGAAGACAAAUUCUGGAAGAAACACCUUGCUUUUUUGUUUAAAAGAAGUGAUCUGAGACUACUCAAAAAUAACAAAACACAUAGAGAACACCAACAUACAACGAACCGCAUACAGCUUUAAAAGACUAUCAACUCUUGUCUGAACCCAGCAUCAUAAACAUCGUAACAGGUAAAGUUUUGCCGCUUUUUAAACCGUUCAACCUUGGCAGUAGAUUCUAAGUUAUUUUAAAGCAAUAACACUCAAAGGUAAAACAGAUCGAACUCACGUAUUUACAGCAAAUGAAAGGAAGUCUUUAGAAGAGGACAGCGAUAAAGUUACAAUGCUCAAAGGAUAUACAGAGAAUAAAAAACAGGAGACAACAUGGAGAGAGGGAAAGGGAAGGAAGUAAAAAAAAAAAUCAGUCAUCCACAGAGAUCUCAGAUCUCUAUGCAUAUUUAUAUAUUGAAUCUACAGCUCUGAGCUGUAGAUUCAAAGUUUGAAUUCCUGAUAAAACAUCUUUAACAGGAAAAACACAAAACUCCCUUCUUAGAAGAAAAUCUAGUCAUGGAAACCUCUCAAACCAUUUCAAAAUUCAAGAAGUUUUCUCAGAAAAAUAUCAUGAGUUCCUAUCUAUAGCUGACAAGUAUGGAUGGAAGGAUGAAUGUAUAGCAAUUGCAUUCAGGGACACUGUUACUUUUGCUGUGUCCAGUUCUCCAACCUCUCUUUCCAGGAACGCAUUCACUGCAGCACAUCGCUCACAGGUAGCUCAGGCAGAAAUAGAAAUGAAGCAGCAGCAGCAGAGCUUCAGUAUGGCCCGUGCACUUUGCUGAAGACCUGAUUCUGCCCAAAUUCAGGUUGGAGCUGGAGAGCCACUAGAAAGACCAUUAACUUUGAAGCCUGCAGUCACUUCAAGAAGGACAAUGGAAUUUGAGGAAGUCCAACUCUGGGAUUAUUUUAAAUGGUACAAUAGUAUUGUCUCACCUGAAAUCCCCCAGAACACCACAAAAAACAAGAGUUAAUGUGUUUAGUCCUCAAGACAACUGCAUCUCAAGUUAACUCUAAACCUUCAAGAUACACCUAAACUUCAGCUAAGGAUCUUUGUGUGGAAUUCAGAAGUCUUUUCAAGUCUGAGUGUAACUUGACCCCCAUUGAUGGCUGUACUAAUCUAUUUCCUUGAAAGCAAGGUGAAACAGGACAUUUAAAACCUUCACACAUUAAAUAUGCAUCAACUAAUACAUUUAUUUACUUAUUUUAAGUAUAUGCUGUCAAAGACAAGGAGCA